rnacentral:rRNA from 1 species
CGCGUAGGCGGGAUGGCAAGUCAGUCGUGAAAUCUCUCGGCUCAACCGAGAAGCGUCGGCUGAUACUGCCGUUCUUGAGGGAUGCAGAGGAGACUGGAAUUCCCGGUGUAGCGGUGAAAUGUGUAGAGAUCGGGAGGAACACCGGUGGCGAAGGCGGGUCUCUGGGCAUCUCCUGACGCUGAGGCGCGAAAGCGUGGGAGCAAACG